GAUAAGAGUCAAAGUGGAACUUUUUUCUUGGGUUUUUUCUAAUACUGGUAGUUUUACUGUACAUGUCCCCUUUUUCAAAAUCUAAUAGUUUUAAUUUAUAGUGUUUAAACAAAUCAAAAAGUGAAACAAAAUCAAUCCCAUAAAGUGACACAUAAAAUUUGAUUAUUACUGUUUAUUUUUCUUAAAGAUGCAAUUAAACUCACAUUAAUGUGUUUAUUUUUUAAAUAAAAGUUAUAUAAUCAAAGUAAGACCUUUU
rnacentral:lncRNA from 1 species